GGGGCUGCCUGGUUUUGACAGCAUAGAUCUUUGAAGGUGUAAGCAUGCCGUGCGUUGUGUAAUUAGCACGUUAAUCUGAAUACUCAAAACUCAAAUGGCAAUACACAGUAUGCCAUGGCUGCGUAAUUAGUGAUUAUUCAGUCAUUCGGGCCGCCGAACAGGUUGAUCUGUUACCAAGUUCCGCCGCCGACUCAAAAACAAAACAGGUUGCUGUAACACAAGGCUGUGACUGUUGCAAAAGAUUUAUUCAGCUACGUAUUGUAUUGGUAGGUUCAGGUCCUGUACAGUGCCGACAAUUAAUCAUGAAAUAAGCAUGUAGAAAGCUUUUGGAGAAUGUGUUUGGACAGCGGUUCGAGUCCGCUCAGCUCCACAA
rnacentral:tmRNA from 1 species